rnacentral:rRNA from 1 species
AGCCCCAGGAUAAAAAAAAUCUGUGGUUAAACCUGCCCAAUGUAUAAGAUUAAUUAAUGGCCGCGGUACUUUGACCGUGCUAAGGUAGCGAAAUCAAUUUGGCUUUUAAUUGGAGUCAGGUAUGAAUGGAGUUACGGGGUUCGGCUGUCUCCUAUCUAAUUAUUCAAAAUUACUAUAUAGAUGAAAAAGUCUUUAGUUGGAAAAAAGACGAGAAGACCCUUAGAGUUUUUCUUAAAAUAAUUGGGAAGUAAUUAUAAGAGUUUAGUUGGGGCAACUUAGGAAAAAGUAUUUCAAUUUCCUAAAUAAAACAAACCGAUUAUUUUAAAUUUGUAUAAACUACCUUAGGGAUAACAGCAUUAUGUAAAAAAUAAGUUUGUGACCUCGAUGUUGGACUGGGAAACUAUAAGGCUAGCCGUUUUUUAGUAAAGU